rnacentral:rRNA from 1 species
UUAUAAAAAUUUAAAAUUAAUUACUUAAAAAUUAAUAGUUAAGUUCUUUAAAUUUAAGAGAUUUGGCGGUAUUUCAGUCUUAUUAGAGGAACCUGUAUUUUUAUUGAUAAUCCACGAUUAAUUUUACUUAUUUUAAAAAUUCAUAUAUCGCUGUCAUGAAUAUAUUUAAAAAUUUAUUUUCUUUAAUUAUUUUAAUGAUUUAUGUUAAGUCAAGAUGUGGUUUAUAAAUAAGUUAAUUAUGGGUUACAAUAAAUUUAAUUUUUGGAUUUUAAAUGAAAAUAAUUGAUGAAAUUGGAUUUAAUAGUAAUUUUAAUUAUUUAAUUAAUAUGAAUAAAGAUCUGAAAUAUGUACAUAUUGCCCGUCAUUCUUAUUAAAAAUAAGACAAGUCGUAACAAAGUAAGUGUACUGGAAAGUGUACUUAGAAAGA